CGGACGGGUGAGUAACACGUGGGUGAUCUGCCUUUCGGUGGGGAAUAACUCUGGGAAACCAGAGCUAAUACCGCAUAUGCUUACUAUUUCAUUAUUGUAAGUAAAGAUAUAUUGCCGAAAGAGGAGCCUGCGCCGGAUUAGCUAGUCGGUGGGGUAAUGGCCUACCGAGGCGACGAUCCGUAGCUGGUCUGAGAGGACGACCAGCCACACUGGGACUGAGACACGGCCCAG
rnacentral:rRNA from 1 species